rnacentral:rRNA from 1 species
GACGAACGCUGGCGGCGUGCUUAACACAUGCAUGUCGAACGCUGAAGCUCAGCUUUUGUUGGGUGGAUGAGUGGCGAACGGGUGAGUAACACGUGAGUAACCUGCCCCCUUCUUUGGGAUAACGCCCGGAAACGGGUGCUAAUACUGGAUAUUCACUGGUCUUCGCAUGGGGGUUGGUGGAAAGGGUUUUUCUGGCGGGGGAUGGGCUCGCGGCCUAUCAGCUUGUUGGUGGGGUGAUGGCUUACCAAGGCUUUGACGGGUGGCCGGCCUGAGAUGGUGCCCGGUCACAUUGGGACUGAGAUACGGCCCAGACUCCUACGGGAGGCAGCAGUGGGGAAUAUUGCACAAUGGGCGCAAGCCUGAUGCAGCGACGCCGCGUGAGGGAUGGAGGCCUUCGGGUUGUGAACCUCUGUCGCUCAUGGUCAAGCCGCAACAAUGGUUGUGGUGAGGGUAGUGGGUAAAGAAGCGCCGGCUAACUACGUG